CAGGAUAUCUGUGACGUUACAGGAAAUAUACGUAGCCAACUUUGACAUUGAGGAGGAAUGGUGUCUUCUGGGUUUAAUAAUUCCUAAUCAAACAGCGAUACCAACAACUUCCGGAAGAGCAAGGAAUUUCUGUUACUAGGUGCGUUUGAUGCAUUUGAAAGGUUAGGAUCAAGAUCCUGCGGUGUUUAUUUUGCUAAGGAUACGAGCAAUUCGGUGUCGAUAAACAUAUCAGCCUCUCAGGAUGAUUACUGAUGUGCAGCUGGCAGUGUUUGCUAAUAUUCUUGGAGUGACAUUGUUCCUGCUGGUAGUGUUAUAUCAUUAUAUAGCUGCCAAUAAUAAGUCAUAAUGUGACACCAAGAUGAAUGAAAGAUUGAUGAAGACUGCAUUUAACUAUACUGUAAAUAACUAACUACAUGAAAAGUUCAUGUGUUCAAGUCCUUUUGUACUGUUUAGUUCAUCAAAUGCAAAAAUAAUGCAAAAUUAUACAGAAAUUGUUGUUUUUGUAACCUGUCUCCAAAAUUGUUUUCCCUAGCCUUGGCUUAAGAUAGCCCAUUUUUUCUUGUGGGACCAUUGUUUAGUGUUCUUAUAAUUAGCUUUCAGAAUCUUUCACUACAAAUUACGUAUGUUUUUAAUAACUAGUCAGAAAUUUUAAAGAGUUGCAUGGCUAUGCUUUAGUCACCAUCAGAUAGUUUAAGCAGUCAUGUGUUUAUACUUUCAUGGCAGAAGAAUAAAACAUAACACAAAAUUUUUGUGUUAAUUUAUAA